CUUUUGUAACAUUUCCUUUGUCACAAACAAUUUGAACUGCGAGGAACUAUUUUAAUCUAAUCAUAGGAAUGGCUAAUACAGUCUGGUUGUGAAGAUUAAGGAGGUUGCUUUGAUUAGUUAUAGACAUGAUAAAAAAGUCUUUUAAAUUCUUCACAUUUUGAGUUCUUUUUUUUUUGUUUCGAUUUUCUACAGUAGUCCUUUUCACUUUCGCAUAUAUGUUUUCUUAUUCACAUCUUUGAUGUUUCUGUUUGUGCAAAAGGAUUCUUUCUACAGAAUAAAUCAACCUUUAUAACACUCGAAUUAUAGAUAACACGUAUCAAAUUAUUUUAGUAUAAACAUAAGAACAAGUUUAUGUGAAAACUAGUGUUAAGAAUGACAAUAAAUAUCUGGCAAUCAGCCAAAUAAAGAUUUCCAAACAAGGAAGUGCAGAGAAAACUAUUGUAAUUAGAAUUUGAAUAGCAUUGUCAGAUGCACACAAGUGUAUUCAGAAUCCCUACACGACAGUUCCUCUCAAAAUGCCUCCGCAGCGGGUUACCCGUGCUCCUGUUCUGCUGAGAAGAAGUAGGAUGUCAAUCAGAGGAUCUGUAUUGAUUGUGAUCCUGGAACGUAUGGUUUGGACUGUCCCACACAUUGUUCCUAGUAUGUCCAAAAUUCCCAGACUUGUGAUAAAGUAACCGGAAAUUGUACUUGCAAAACGGGUUGGGAAGGGACAGAUUGUUCCAGUGAUACAAAGGAAUGCGUAAAUAAGACGAUAUGUGCAUGUACUAGUAACUCUCAUUGCUCAAACUAUGAGGGGAUAUCUUCCUGUGUUUGUAGUUCUGGGUACUCGCUUUAUGGCCAAAACUGUGGCAGUCAGUGUACAUGUGAUGUCAGAAACACACAGUGAUAUUACAAACUAAACGUAACCUGUUACUGCAGUUCUGGGUGCCAGGGAGUCAACUUUGCAGAGAAAAGUGACGUAGUGCAUUGGUAACCCCAUUAACUACGGUUCCUAUUCAGACUGUUCCGAAGAGACCCGGUUUGCUUAUGCACUUUAGGGUAUGAGAAAGAUUCGAAUUUAAAUUAACCGCCGCGGAAGAGCCUUCGCUCCGCAUGACAGAUGUCGGGGUUCGAAUCGCGGCCUCAACAGAUCUAAGUCAUUCAAACAGGUAAUGAAACUUCUAUUGCCAAACCCUCGGCAUCAGGUGUGAGUGUCACGGGUUCUCAGAGAUGAUGUCCCGUGUCACAGUAAGUGUGGCACGCUAAAGAACCCACACUGAUCAAUGGUCGUAAGCGCCAAGCAUAGGCUUAAAUUUGAAGCCCUUCACUGAUCUUGGUGACUUCUCCAUAUAAAUGAAAAAUUCUCGAGAGGGACGUUAAACAAGAUGCAAUCAAUCAAUCAAUCGAAUUGAAAUUGCAUAGAUCAAAGGUGAAGAUAACGAACAGUGAUCAAUCUCAAAAAUCCCAUAAGCAAUCAAAAAUAGAUAGUUAGGCAGACACGGACCCCUAGACACACCAGAGGUGGAAUCAGAUGCCUAGGAGAAGUCGACCGGUCACACCCACCGUGAGCACUAUAUCUUUGUAAUCGAACAGCAAGGAAUAAGUCGCGAUUCGGCUUUAUGUUGAUUUAUUUUGGUAGAAAUGUAUAAGGCAUUGACCUAUAAGCAAAACAAAUGAUAAUUGUAUUAGAUAAAAAGUACAAGUUCAUAAUUUAGAUAAACUGUUGACGAUAAGUUACCAUUAAUACAGCAUAAAUUUAUAAUAGAAAAAUAUGCUCUGUAAGAAAUUGACCUAACAAACAAAUUCUGAAAACAUACUUAGACAACUUUAACUGCAAAAAUACAAUAAAGUAUAAACGUUGCAAUUAAGAAUAAGAAUCAUACACAAAAAUGUUGUAGUAAAGUAAGACCUAAGUAAAUAUGAUUCUAUCGUACCACACGAUGCACCUGAUUGAAGCUGGACAGAUCAUCGACGUAAAAAGGUACACCGCUCUGAUUUACACAGUUUGAACGGUAACUUAUAGUUAAAGGUGAAUCAUGACUAUUGGGUAAUAUUUAAUGACAAAUGAAAUUUAGAGUUACAAAAAUAUCAACUCAAUCCAAUGUGCAUAAGAAAAACAACUCAAUCCGAUGCGCAGUAAAAGUUCUACUCAAUCCGAAAUUUACUAAACCUUUCAAAAUAUAAUCAAACGAAAAAUGAAUAAAUACAUAAGAAAUAAAUAAUAGAUUUGUACUACCACAUCUUAAUCAGGUAAACGGAGUUAUCCGUAAUCAAAAUCGGUCUACCAUGAACGGUCUAGCAAUCGGUAUGAAAUUGUCAGACAGUAUUUGACCCAAUGAUAGGUUGUAUUGGCAAACUAGAUCGUUUAAACGACCAUAGAAUUUGCGAAAUACUAACUUAAACGAGAUUGCUGAAACCCCUGUACCACCAACUUGUUUGUCAGUAGAUUGCAUCGAUUUAAAAACUGACCAUACGCAGAACAAGUUCUUAUGUAUCGUACAUCGUUAUCUUCACCUUGCAUGUAUAAACACCAUAUGCAGGUGAUAAUGGAAUAUUGCUACAUAAAUAUGGGAAGUUGACAAUGGAGAAGCUGAAAUCAUCCCGUUUGUCAUAAAGUUGAGUUGUUAGUUUGCCUUUAAUGUCUACUUUCAAUAACAUACCUGAGUAUGAAGCAGAAGUGGACGACUCUUGGUGUCUUUUAUUUCGAGCUCGCAGAGAUAAAUGUAUAUCGAAUCGUCAUAUGAAUAGUUAUUAUUGUUAAUAGACAAAACGUCGUCGAUAUAUCUAAAUGUCGAAUUGAAGGCCACAGAAAGAAAUUUCUUAUUAUUACAUAGAAGUUCUGAAUAAAUUCUGCUUCAUAUGAAUAUAAAAUCAGGUCAGCUAACAAAGGGGCACAAUUCAUGCGAAGGGGAAUUCCAACAGACUGUUAGAAGACCUAAUCACCAAGGACCACGAAGAAAUUGACAAUGAGGAAGUGUAAAAUAUUUUUUAUUUUAACUUCAGAAUACUUGUGUGUGUAAUCAGUGUGGUGUUUAACAAAGUAACAUUUUGGAUGACUGAUCACUAGAUAUGGAUAUUUCCGUUUUCCAUUUUUGUUGAAAAAGCAAAUGACUAUGAUGUCAAAAAGUAUAGUCUUUAAUUUAUCGUGGGGAAUGGUCGUGAAAAGUGUUCAAAAGUAAUAGGUUUUCACGUUGUUGAUCUGAGAAAACUUUUGCGAUUUAAAGUUUACUUAAAGUUCAUUAGAAUUGUUUUUCAACCCACAUUUCAUUUGCACCGCUUCUGGCAUAUGUAGUCGCACAGCAAGUUCGAAGUUUCUCCUUCACAGCUGUUAAUAUUUUCGUGAGGAGGAAAGAUAGGGGCUUGGUAGAGAAUUUACUGGAUCUAGCGAUGUAUUUUUGUAAGGGUUUUAUGUAGUUUAGGAAUCCAGUAUAGGUACAGUAACUCAUAUUCAUUUGACCCACCGGCUGGGAUAGAUAUAGUAUUAGUGUGGAUUUGCAGAAUGCAGUUUAUAAAAGACAAAAAUGCGGAAUAUGUAUCUAUGUUGCAAUGCUACUUUCAACAUCUGUGGACUUCUUUUCUUUCUUUAAGAUACCUUAUGUAAUUCUGUAUUUGUUACGCACGUAUCAAAAUACCCAUUACAUAACUUUGAUACAGAGAUUUAGGCACUAGUUCUCUCUGAAGUAACGUAAUAUGGUUUUUACCGCUUUGAAAAUCAAGACAUUUGAAUGAAAAGGAUCGCCUUGGCCCGGUGACAACGACCUUCUAAUGUUUCCUCGCGUCGAUGAUAGAUAACAUUCAUUCACCUCUUUCUGUUUAAACAUAAAUGCUAAAUGUCCGUUUGAACUACAUAAUGCACCAAGAAAAAUGAUUGGUAUAGUACUAGUGUACCAGUUUGACAAUAAUUCGAUACAAAGGCGAUGUCACCAGAACGAUCACGGGUACAGUGUUUCGAUUUCGGUAGACCCAGAACUUUAAAUCCCACUGUAUAAUUAUGCUAAACUUUAAUUUUCUUCAUAAAAGGGUAGAUUUUAAUAUCUUCGAAACUGGAAACGAUUUGCGUAAAGCAAGGUAAUCGCGAAUUGUUAUGAAAAUGAAGUUUUAAUUUUGUCAUCAGGGAACAAAUCCAGUGUAACUGAAGAAUAUUCGUUAUGUAUGACCAAGAUUAAGAUCCGUCUACUGUAAGAAUGUGUCCGUGUUCCGCCUUGUGAUACCCUUUAUUUAUAUAAUGCAGUCCAUAGUAACUGACUAGCAUAUCAUAAAGUGAAUUAAAAUAACAGAACCCUAAAAUGUAACACACUGCUGAAUCACGAUGUAUUUGCGGACAUGGUAAAGGAGAGUAAAUAAAGGUAACACGACAAAGGGGCAUUGGGGACGGGGAAUGACUGUUACAAUACCAAGAUAAAAAACGUUAUGUGGUGGUAUAAAUAUAACAUUUCCUGCCACUUCUAUUUCAUACACCAAUUAAUGUGCACGUGGUACCUCUAACUGAGACUCGACUGUAGCAACACUAAAGGGGGGUUUAAUUGUACUUGUAAACCUGAAUUUGUUGACAAUGGACAAACACGUAUUCUUUAAAAAUAAAUCCAGAGCUCCAUAUCCCCGGUCGUAUAAUUCUUAAGAAAAACUAGCACCUGACAAUGAACAGAUGGCAAUUGAUUGAUUUCUACUGUAUAAACUAAAUGAAAAGAGCGUUUUACUGAAUCAUAACUAGUCUUGUAGUUUGCAGUGGCAAACAUUGAUCACAAACGUAUUGUACAUACGUAAUAUCAUAUUGCAAGUUGAUAUAUUUUAUACUUCCCACAUUUAUGUAGCAAUAUUCCAUUAUCACCUGCAUAUGGUGUUUAUAUAUCUCAACUGAUUCGAUAUGCAAGAGCUUGUUCUGGGUAUAGUCAGUUUUUAAAUCGAGGUAAGCUACUGACAAACAAGUUGAUGGUACAGGGAUUUCAACAGUCUCGAUUGAAGUCAGCAUUUCGCAAAUUCUAUGGUCGUUAUAACGAUCUAGUUCGUCAAUACAACCUCGCAUUGGGUCAAAUGCUUUCUGACGUGUUUCAUACCGAUUGUUAAGCCGUUCUUGGCACACUGAUUUUGGCUGCGGUUAACUCCGUUUACCUGAUGAGGAUAUGGGGCUCACGACGGGUGUGACCGGUCAACAGGGGAUGCUUACUCCUCCUAGGCACCUGAUCCCACCUCUGGUGUGUCCAGGGGUCCGUGUUUCCCCAACUAUCUAUUUUGUAUUGCUUGUGGGAAUUAUGAGAUUGAUCACUGUUCGUUGUCUUCACCUUGCAUACUGCUGUUCUAUAUUUCUAUUUUCAUUACUCCUUCCAUAUUUCCCCGUUUGACAGUAAAUACAUGCUGUUGAUAAACAAGUGUUUUAUUCUCCAAUAGUAAUUAGCGUUACAAAUGUUGUUUAAACAAAGACAGAUGUAGGAACAACAUCAGCUGUGAUUCCAGACAUUGUGACAUCGACACAGCCAAUCACAGCAAAUCACGGAGUAUCUAUGACGCAGGAAAUUAGAAAUAGGUACAACAGACUCAAAAACCGUGGUUCAACCAGUGACAUCAAUAGUGACAGGAGAUAGGACGUCUACUUAACCAGUUAUGUAUAACAGGAGAUAGGACGUCUACUUAACCAGUUACACCAGGAGAUGGGACGUCUACUUAACCAGUUACACCAGGAGAUGGGACGUCUACUUAACCAGUUACACCAGGAGAUGGGACGUCUACUUAACCAGUUACACCAGGAGAUGGGACGUCUACUUAACCAGUUACACCAUGAGAUAGGACGUCUACUUAACCAGUUACACCAGGAGAUGGGACGUCUACUUAACCAGUUACACCAGGAGAUGGGACGUCUACUUAACCAGUUACACCAGGAGAUAGGACGUCUACUUAACCAGUUACACCAGGAGAUGGGACGUCUACUUAACCAGUUAUGUAUACCAAGAGAUGGGACGUCUAAUUAACCAGUUACACCAGGAGAUGGGACGUCUACUUAACCAGUUACACCAGGAAAUAGGACGUCUUUUCAUUUCUAUUUUUAAAUAUAUAGAUAUUUGGCACCUGAUCCCACAUAUAGUAUAUCCAGGGAUCCGUGUUUGCCAGAUCUAUAGUUUGUAUUGUUUAUAGGAGAUUUGAGAUUGAUGACUGUCCGUUAUCGUCACUUUUCAUCGAUAUUGAAUAUAUCACACGUACAUGUAGGUAAAUAACUUUUUCCAAUUGCCACAAACGUUCCUGUGAAGAUGAUUUCCUAUAGUUGUGUUGUUGAUUUCUAUUGUAAAGUUAUGAGGAAAAUCCGGGGAUGAUUUUCGGUAGUUUUGUUGCUAUAGUUCAGAGAGAGAGAGAGAGAGAGAGAGAGAGAGAGAGAGAGAUGCUUUUUCAUAGUUGUGAUAUUUGAUAGUUUUAUUGUUAAAGUCUCUGGAAGAUGAUUUUCCAUAUUGCUGUUCUUGAGUUCUGAGGAAGGUGAUUUUCGAUAGUUUAAUUAUUGAGCUCUGAUUCUGAUUGAUGUAAGGCCUUCGUUAAGUUCUCCUAUAAAGGAAUUAACACCUGUUAUGUUCUGAGGAAGGUAAUUUGGAUAGCUGUACCAAUCAGUACAUUACUUCAACCAGCUCUAAGGUGUAUAACAAUGAUGGCCUUAAAGUUUACUAUCGAAAAGGUUCCGAAAGGAAUUCAAUGAAAUUACGUAAAUUAUAUGAAAGGUGAAGAUAGCAAUCAGUGAUCAAUCUCACAACUCGACGAAACAAUACUUAAUUCCAAUUUACAUAGGUUCCAGCUUUGUUUUAUUCUUUUGUAUUUUCGCUUAUUCUCAGAUAUCCUAUUUGUGCAGCAUGUUACAUUGUGUACCAUUAAACCCCACAUACAUUAAGUUAUGUUUCGGUAGUUUUAAUUGCUAUUCUGUAACAGGACAAUGCAUACAAACGGAUUUUUCAAGUCUGGGAUCCCUACGAAGAUUGAUAGCUGGGGUCGGCGUGGUCUCUAUUCACUAUGGAACUGGGGAGAUGAUUCCAGUAUAUCCGAUAUAAACGAACGAAGAGGAAGAAGCGGAGAUGGUUUUGAUAACACAUAUCGUGGCGGUAGCGAAUUUUACAGGGAGUAGUGUUUCAACUACAGUACCAUAUACACUGUACAUAGGAUAUUUUACUCGAUGGAGAUGCUGGCUCUUUCAUAAUGGAUGAAAAGUUAGAUAACGGUGAUCAAUUUCAUAACUCCUAUGAGGAGUACCAAAGAGAGAGUUUGACAAACACCGAUCCCUGGAUGUAUAAGAAGUGGGAGCAGGUGCCUACGAGGAGUGAGAAUGACGAGUCAUAAUUUCUACGCAUGUUUGCAAUAUUAAUCAGCAUUGCACUGCUGCAUAAAAACACACAAAGUCAUAAAAUAUACAAUCGUAUUAAUUAAACGAUAGGAUACUUUGUCAUUUACGAGGUUUUUGUUAGAUAGGGAUUUAUUCUUAGGUAAAAUGUUUUUAAUCAACGUGAUUCAUGAAAGGUGAAGAUAACGAACAGUGAUCAAUUUCAUAACUCCUAUAUGGAAUACAAAAUAGAAAGUUGGGAAAACACAGACCCCUGGAUAUACCAGAGAUGGAUUGUGUUUCAUAUCGAUUGUUAGGCCGUUCUUGGCACACUGAUUUUGACUACGGAUAACUCGGUUUAUCAUAUCAAGAUAUAGGGCUCACGGCGGGUGUAACCGGUCGACAAGGGAUGCUUACUCCUAGGUAUCUGAUCCCACCACUGGUGUAUACAGAGGUCCGUGUUUGUCCAACUCUCUCUCUCUCUCUCUCUCUCUCUCUCUCUCUCUCUCUCUCUAUAUAUAUAUAUAUAUAUAUAUAUAUCUUGUUUAUUGUAGGAGUUAUGAGAUUAAUUGCUGUUUGUUAUCUUCACCUUUCGUGUUGUUGUUUUUUUGUUUUUUUUAUUUUCAGUGCACAAAAAUUGAACCAAGUCUUCUUUUUUGUGAGACUCCAUGUACUAAGCGCUAGAACCAUAUAGACAAUAUCAGAUAAAACGCUCACAGACAGAAACUAAGCCACAUCCGUUAAAUGUCGUAUACAGAUGAAUCGAUCUUCCUCGUGCAUUGUGUACUCAGUAAAGAUCUUUAAACUUCCUUUUAUCCCGGCACUUCGUUAAAUCCUAUCAUCAUUGAAUAUAAAUCAAAACAUCGACCUCGGCGAGCUGCUGCCUUUUCCCCGGUUCACCAUAUAAUUUACAACUGUUUGCCGAAUUUUCAGCUCACCUGAGCAGAAAGCUCAAGUGAGUUUUUGUCUGUUGUCUGUCUGCCUGUCCAUCUGUCCGUCUUUCUAUCUGUAAACUUUUCACAUUUUCAUCUUCUCCAGAACCACUGGGCCAAUUUCAAUCAAACUGAAUACAAAUCGGCCAUGGGUAAAGGGAAUUAAAAUUUGUUCAAUUAAAAGGCCAAGGGGAGAUGAUUACGAGAACACAAAAAUAGAGUGGGGUAAUUCAAAACUAGUCUUAAAGACCACUGGGCCAGAAGAGUUUUCUGAUAUAGUGCAGAUUGAACUUUGUUUUAAAGCCAAGGACUCCAGGCGUACGAUGGAGCCACAAUAGGGUUUCCAACAUUUGCAUGUAAGUAUACAAUGCAGAUUUUUUAAAACAAUCUUCUCAGGAUUCACAGGAUGAAGAAUGUUGAAAGUUACGUGAAAGCUUCUUGAUAUCGUGCAAAUUCGAUUUUGUUAAGAUUCAUCUUCCCCGAGGGUAGGAUCGGGCCACGACAGCGGAUCAAAGUUUUAGUAUAUAGGAGAAAUAUUUUUAGAAUCUUACCCAGAACCACUAUGCCAGAAAACAAUUUAACUCAGUUACCGCACGGUAUGCAAAAAUUGAUUCCAAGUGUAGCACGAAUAGCGACGUUAUAUAACAACAACAAAAAUGUUGUUACAUAGCGUCCCCAUUUUUGCAACGGCAUGUAACAAAUUGUCACAUUCUGUCUCGUUGUUACAUACCGUGCCGUAUUAAAGUUUCCGGACGUAGUGCAAAUUCAACUUUGUAAAAAUCAUGGCCCCAGGGAUAGAGGGCAGCACUAGGGAUUUGAAUUGAAUAAGCUGAUAUAUAGGAAAAUCUUUAAAAGUAUAUCUGAACUAUUUACGCUAUGGUUUCCAUACUUUGUGUGUACAUUCUUUAUCGAAAGACCUUUCAUGCAAUGAUAUCACAUGUGGUAUUGUGACCUUGGCCUGGAACUUUGACCUAAUUCAAGAAAA